UACGGAGGGAGCUAGCGUUAUUCGGAAUUACUGGGCGUAAAGCGCACGUAGGCGGCUUUGUAAGUAAGAGGUGAAAGCCUGGAGCUCAACUCCAGAAUAGCCUUUUUAGACUGCAUCGCUUGAAUCAUGGAGAGGUGAGUGGAAUUCCGAGUGUAGAGGUGAAAUUCGUAGAUAUUCGGAAGAACACCAGUGGCGAAGGCGGCUCACUGGACAUGUAUUGACGCUGAGGUGCGAAAGCGUGGGGAGCAAACAGG
rnacentral:rRNA from 1 species